AUACUGGUUAACCAACUCACUGAUCUUAGCAAAAUAUGCUGACAAAGUUUUGCGGAAGAAAACUGGGUCAUGAUGUAUACAAAAAACAAAGAUAUAGUUUUUGCAGCACUUAUGCAAUUGUAACAUCAUAAAGUAACCAGUUUAUAAACUUGAGUGGAAUAAACAUUAAUUUUAAAAUAUAAAAUAUUUUUAAAAUAGUCAUAAGAAUUAAUUGUUGAUUUAUCCAACUAUAACAUAAUGCAAAUAGAAACAUGAGCAUUAGUUAAAUUAUCUAAGUAUUUAAAGUGUAUUAUUUGACUAUUCUAUUUAAAAUCUCUACCCUGUAUAGAAUUUUCGAUAAGAAAUACACGAGAAUUUAUAAAAUAAGGUUAAAAUUAUAUGUUCAUAAAUACUAAAUAUUUUGGAAGAUAUUAAUGGCACUUUGCACGAUCGAAUGACUAUUUGCACUACACUUUCUAUUAUAACUGAUUCUAGGAAAUUAGAAUACAUUUACCUAUAAAAAAUCUUCUGUAGAUGUUACUGUAGCUUCUA